rnacentral:rRNA from 1 species
CCUACGGGCGGCAGCAGUGAGGAAUAUUUGUCAAUGGACGCAAGCCUGAACCAGCCAUGCCGCGUGCAGGAAGACGGCCCUACGAGUUGUAAACUGCUUUUGUACGAGGGUAAACGCAGAUACGCAUACCUGUCUGAAAGUAUCGUACGAAUAAGGAUCGGCUAACUCCGUGCCAGCAGCCGCGGUAAUACGGAGGAUUCAAGCGUUAUCCGGAUUUAUUGGGUUUACAGGGUGCGUAGGAGGUCUGAUAAGUUAGUUGUGAAAUCCCGCGGCUCAACCUCGGAAUUGCAUCUGAUACUGUUCGGCUAGAGAGUAGUUGCGGUAGGCGGAA